UUGAUUAUGUUAGGCUUCGUCCAUGUGACCUAAGAAGUCGUUUAUUUUAUUCAAAUUAAAUUGUAAUAUGAGGUAUGGGAGAAUCGAAUCCAUGACCCUUAAUAUGAAAAAAUAACAAUUGAAAGCAUAAGUGUUUUUCACGUAAAACCCACAAACCUUUUCAACCCUUCAAACCCUCUCACUGUCGCCCUUCAAUUCGUUCACCGUAGUUACCAAGUACUCAAACCCUUCAAUUCCCAAUACUCAAACCCUUCCAACCCCAAACUCAAACCCUUCAAUUCCUUCAUUGUCGCAACGAUCUUUUUCUUCACCAUAACAAUCUUCUCUUUCACUGCAAACAAUCUUCUUCUUUUCUGUUUGAUUGCAAAUUUGGAGGAUACUCGGUCAUAUAUCAGUCCUAGCUUCUCACCUCGCUGCAUCACCAGCUCUUCUCUAUCGAGUCUCACCUUGCUCUGUCGCACUCAGUCACCUAAUCUCUUUGAUUUCAAUAACAGGUCAAUCUCAAUCCCAUUAUUUCUUAUCUAAUAAAUCAUUGUGGUAUUGAUUAUAAAAGAGGAACGAAAUGCUUUUCUUGGAGAUGACAGUUGGAAGCGUAUGCCUAAAAGAAUGAAUAAUUGGCUUUUGGAAAUUAAUGGAAGUGAAGAAUCUACUGUAAGAUGGUAUGUGAAGAGUGCAAAAAAUGCGGAAGUAAUUGGCCCAUCAACGUUUUUCCUUUGCAAGGUUAGUACGAAUCUGAUCACACAUAUGUAUUGUUCUAUUAAUUUUGACAAUAUUGAUUUGGUUGAUGUUUUAAUCAUGAUAAAUGCUAAGUGACAUAAAAUUAAACCCUAUGUAAUUUGUCUGUCCAAAACUGAGUGGUUCUUGUCCAAUAGAAAACAUAGAGGUAGCCAGCCAGCUUACAACCAUACUAACACACAUGGAGAAUUGCUAGGAUACUAUGCAAGUAAUAAGUAAAGAUAGUUGAUUUGAGCUUAUUUGUGACUAUGCGGCAGUUUAUUUUGUCUAUAAUGGUAUACAUAUUGUUCAGAAACAUGUUGACAAGAGAGAUUAUGCUAUGGCUGUCAAGUAUGUUUUUGAAGUUAUCUUGCUAGGAAGAAUGCUACCGACGUAGCGAGAUUCGGUCCAGCUCGACAUGUUAUCAACGUGGAGAGAUUGUGUUCUCACAAUAUCGACCGUUCAUUCAAAUAUCGCUGCUGACUCGAUGAUAAAAUCGUCAAGUAUUGAGGGCGGCAUGAUUUCCGAUCUUGAAACCGGCUCCACUGCCGCCUUAGUCUCCUCAAAGCUUUGGCGUUCUUCUCAACUAUGGCGAGCUUGACAUCUUAAUCAACAUUGAUUAUGACGGUAAAGACGGCAAAGGAGAAGAUCUCCCACUGAAUAACACAGUGACAAAUAUACCUAGGAAAGACGAAAAGUUCUUCAGGGUGGAAACGCGAUGUUGUUCCUUGUUCCUUGUUUCUUUGUUUAAUAUAACUUUGAACCAUUUUAAGUUUUCUUGAAAGUUGCAAUAUUUUUUACAUUGGGCAGAUAUGCUUGAACCAUGUUAUAUAUGUAGGUACCAUUAUGAUAAUUAGAAGAAUGUUAUUAUAAGACACAAUUUCAUGAACCAAAAUGUGUGAGAGUGUAGGCAUGGUGUCCUAUUUGGCAUUCAAGAAUGUAACAAGCUUGUAAAUAUUCAGAGGAGAUAUUGUGUAAUUGUUCAAAGGAGAUAUUGUAGCUGAGUCUUAGUACCCUGUGAGAUAUAUCUCUUUUCAUGAAACAUAUCAUAUUUAGAUCAGUGUUGGAAAUGAGACUUUAAUUAAAAAGACUUUCAUCUUUUCAUGUUAAACAUAUUGUAUAUAGAUCAUUAUAGUGUAAGCAUUAUAAACACUGUAAGAUUAUGGAUGUAUUAUUGUUUAUCGAUGUAUGUUAAAAAAAUAAAAAAAUCUCAGGUUUGGUCUGCAUAAUAAUAUAGAAUGCAAUUAGAGAAUAUGUAGAGGAAUAUUUGGU